rnacentral:lncRNA from 1 species
GUGGGUGUGGUGUUCAUUUGCGCAUUACAUGCUACCGGUGGAGCUGUGGUGCUCUACCUGACUGGAGCACCCUGGUGUGCUGCCUGUUUCAAGACAAAGUUUGUGAAGGCUUUAUCCUUGCCAUCCACAAAUCCUUGUUAUUUCCAUCUUUAAUGCCAGAAUGAAUAACUAGUGAGUUUUUUCUCUUUCUUAGAGUAACUUAUGUUGCAUUAAGAAAAUAUAUAUGAAGACAGGAUGUUAUUCCAGGCCUGAGAACUCUGGCAGGGCUGGAAUCAAUUGAAAAUACAGUCCUGACUUCCUCAAUGCACAAGCCAGUGGAAAUCUAAAAUAACCUCUGGGGAGAGAAAAUGGAAGUUUGUGGCUUUGACAACUGAAAGAAAGUACCUGAAGGUCGAUGCCUUGCAAAGCGGAUUCUGGAAGUGGUGCUUUGGAAACAAAGCAGAAAGCAAUGUGCAAAAUUUUAGUAAGAGACUCCGUGCCCUAAAGAUUGUACCUUUGAAGUACACAAGAAUGGUAAAACGUGGCAGAAGGGAAGAACUGUUAUAUUUACAGGAAACUGAAGCUCAGAGAUUUUAACUUUUUCUAAGAUCAGGCAGGAGGCUGACUCUCUGGAUCAAGGUGAAUGUACAUUUAAAAUGCAUGAUUGAUUAUUUAAGGAAUCUGUGAGACUUCUGGAUUCUGUACACAGAAUGAGAAAGUGGAAAAGCAACUAUUUCAUAUACAUCCCAUUUUACCCUCCAGAGCUCUCCCAUUGAUUCAAGGAAAACUGAUUGAAGAAAAUGUACUCAUUAUGCAUGGACAAAGCUUGUAGAAAGAAAUAAUAGGCUCUUGAACAGCUGAGAAGGAAGUUCUAACCUCAGAGUACCACGAGAGGUUUUUUGAGGCAACCUCAUUAUCCUUCUAAGGCUGGAACUGCAACCAGGAGUGUUGAUCCUUUCAUCUUGCAACAUGUAAGCUAUCAAGAGCUCUGCAAAUACUUGAGACCAAACUGACCUUUGGCCUUGGAAAAGCCUGAGUUCUGGGCUUGCUUGAUUGUGGAGAGAUUGGAAAUGUAGGAGAAAAGGAAACACUGGUUUGAUAGGUCACUCUGUCAUUUUACCUUCUGAAGAUCACCUUGGAAAGAACAAUCAAGCAAACAACUGGUCUGGGAGAAGCAAGUGCUAAAGCUGUGUACUUUUUAAACUGUGAGGAGAGAAUUUAUGUGAACUUUUAUUUAUUACUUAUCACCUAAGUCUUGGAGGUGAUUUGAAGCAGAAGGAAGAGGAAGGAAAAAAAAUAGAAGAGGGAUUAUUUGAAGGUGAUGGAGUUUCUGAACCUGAUUAGAGAGCGUUCUCUUGCUGCCAACUCAUACAGGAUCUUUGUCUCCUUUGCUGUUUCAGAAGAUGCUGUUCCAGAGACAGGGCUCCUAGAGUUUUGUGGAAGGGGAAGUUCCUGAUGCCCGCUGUCCAAGACUUUCUAGACCAAGUGAGAAGAUUUUCUUGUUCAGACUGGUGAAGAGCUCUGAAAGUCAUCAUCACCAUGCCAUCUGGCAAGCUGUACAUUUAUAUACUGAAAGGCCACACUGUCAAAUCUCCCAGAAACCUUCUCUUCUCCAGGCUGCACAGCCUCAGCUCCCUCAGCCUGUCCUUGAAGGAGAAGUGUUCCAUCCUUCCAUCCCUUGGAUCAUUUUUGCAUCCCUCCUCUGGAUGGACUCCAACAGAUCCACGUCUCUCCUACACUGAGGACUCCACAUCUGGAUGCAGUACUCCAGAAACCUGUCUUAUGAGAAAGAAAAAAACCACAACACUGCAGAGCAUCCAAAUCUCCUUUAAAGAUGCAGUGAUUUCCAUCGAAAGCUGUUAAGAAGAUUUGGAAAGAAAACGAUGGAACUUGCAUUUUAAUCUCACAAGCUGGCAAUAGGUUUUAAACAGCAUUGUAUGGUUGGACUGUAAGUGAUAAAAUACAGGUUGAAUUUCUUUGGAAGGCCAUUCAUGAAAAAACAACACUCUUCUAGUGUAGUCUACCAAAGAAAUCCCCUUGGAAUCCCUUGCUCUAAAUGUUCUUCCUCAUUUCUGGAUGGCUCUCAAAGUCUUUUACACCUGCAAAAAUACACUGUCGACAUUUUCUUACUUUGAAUACAGAAAAAUGUUCAGUGCAAGAGAAUGGAGAAUUAAGGCCUCCAUCUUACUGUAGUGAAAAGAAACCUAGCUUCACACUGAUCCAGAUUUUGACCUUGGAUAGGUAUCGUUAGAUCUUUUGGUUUAAUUAAAACUUAGCUCUAUGUUUCUCCACUUUGAAUGCUUUCACUGUAGUGUUCUUAAACUCUGAGUUUUAUGUAGUUGUGAGUAGGGAUUUUGAAGGCUAUUAACUCAUUGAAGUGCAAAAGUUCAUAACCUCUUACAGCAAUACACUUUUUUUAUGAUUGUCAGACAGUUAGAGCUGUACAUAGCAAGCAGACUUGAAUAUGACUUUGAAGAAUUUGAGGAGAAUGCUUCAUACUCAGGGAUAAUUCUGAAGUGCAGUUAUGCCUGCCUUGUGUUGCUAUUUUUCUUGCUUCUGACUUUCAUAGAUUCACCACUUCAAUUCCUCUUGAUUAAUAGGAAAGUCAGGAAAAAUAUUAUUUUAAUAUCAUUUGCAGAGUGUACCUGACCAGCACAGGUUGUUUGAAGGAAUAGCCAGGCACUAUGCAAGAGAGAGUAAAGAAGAUAUGCCACCAUGACAGAAUGUGCAGUUGCUCCUUAAGUAAUGCCUCCUAUUUAUUUCCAUGGAAACUUCUAAGAACAGGUACAAAGUGCAGGAUAAAACUACUUGAAUAGAGCAAAUUCUCAGCUACAAAACACCAUUUUUCAACACAGUAACCACCAUUAGGUGUGCAUUUUUGCCAGUGAUGAACAAGAAUCUGCAUGCCAUGCACCAGCAGAGGUGACCAUUGUUGCCACUCUGCUGAAAUGCACCACCUACUGCCUCACUGCACUUACAUUCACUGUUUGGUCUCCAGAAAUGUCCAGCAGGCAUUGAUGAAUGUCAGUGGGAGCCAUUUUUUUUCUGCAUGAAAUAGUUAACUGACACAUCUUUCCUUCAUCUGCACUUCCAUGGCAGAUGCCAUUCUGCCAGACUUGCCUCUCUGCUGCCGUCAGUCACACAGCAGCAAAAAGUAUUGGAAUGUUGGUGGGAAGGUCCAACAUAUACUGCCAUGUCACCAACAUCUGUCUCUGAUAUUGUGGGCCACCAUCAUAACAUAGGAGGCAUUACUUUCAGAGCAGCCCUUGUGCAUCACAACACAAUACCAUGAGAACAUUUUUCACUUCUCAAAGUGGAAAGUCUGGCAAAUGCUCACAUUUGCAUAUGUGUGUGUGUAAUUUCAGAUAUAACAACUGAUUUUUCAUACAGUUCUAUACAAAUUUGCAGGGUUUUUUUCAACAUAGCAACAUCUUCUGCUACGUGGAUGACCAUGAAUAAAUGUUGUAGCAGAAUUUCAAAUAACAAGCUUGUGAACCAAUGUAAUUCCAGGGAUGCUGCUUUGAAAACAGUUGAAUUUCUCCCAGUUUUCAGCAGUAUAGCUGAGAACAGAACUUCACACUUUCUUGGUUUUGCUAGGAAAUAUAAAAUGUCAAGUAGCAAUUCAAAAAAUAUCUAAUUCUGUAGGAACCUAGGCUUUCUGCAGAUAGCUCUUUUGUUUCCUGUGAAUUUUUACCAGGUUUUAGCCAGAGCUGCUGAAGACUACAGAAAAACAGAAGGGAACACGGAUCUGAGUUACUGCCCUUUUAAUAAGAGAUCAAGCUUCUUUAAAGCCACUCUAAUUUGUGAGCAGAGAUCAAACACUUUGCUUAAGAUAAUGAGUGUAGUAAAUUUGGGAAAAAUGCUUUGAUUGCUCAGCAGUGCAUGGCUUUCUUUUUCUAAAAGAAAUGAUGUCUCAGAGAUACUACGUAAGGAUCUUGAUUAACUAUUUAGCUUCUGCAUCUGAAAGUCAAGAUGAUUUACAAGUAGUUUUGAUUUUUGGGCCAGCUAAAGUGAUCAUUGUGUGUAAUUGCCAUGUUUUACAUUUGACUUUCUGAUUAACGUUUACUAAAGAGUGUGUGUAUGUGAAUAUAUAUAUUCAUUUAACUUCCAAGCACGUUUUCAAAAUCAAGCUAGGUUGUUUUGUUCCAUGUUUUUUUGGGGGGGGGUGUGUAAUUAGGGUAAUUUUUUUUUUUUUUGGAAGGAUUUUUCUUUUCUUGCCUAUUAUCACCAGAAAUAAAUGGAUUAAAGCA